UGUGAGGGACUUGUCGGCGAGUGAGCGGUAAAAGCUCAAAUUUGAAAUCUGGUACUUUCAGUGCCCGAGUUGUAAUUUGUAGAAUUUGUCUUUGAUUAGGUCCUUGUCUAUGUUCCUUGGAACAGGACGUCAUAGAGGGUGAGAAUCCCGUUUGGCGAGGAUACCUUUUCUCUGUAAGACUUUUUCGAAGAGUCGAGUUGUUUGGGAAUGCAGCUCAAAGUGGGUGGUAAAUUCCAUCUAAAGCUAAAUAUUGGCGAGAGACCGAUAGCGAACAAGUACAGUGAUGGAAAGAUGAAAAGAACUUUGAAAAGAGAGUGAAAAAGUACGUGAAAUUGUUGAAAGGGAAGGGCAUUUGAUCAGACAUGGUGUUUUUUGCAUGCACUUGCCUCUCGUGGGCUUGGGCCUCUCAAAAAUUUCACUGGGCCAACAUCAAUUCUGGCAGCAGGAUAAAUCAUUAAGAAUGUAGCUACUUCGGUAGUGUUAUAGCUUUUUGGAAUACUGUUAGCCGGGAUUGAGGACUGCGCUUCGGCAAGGAUGUUGGCAUAAUGGUUAAAUGCCGCCCGCUGAAAAACCGGGGGCCCCAGGGGG
rnacentral:rRNA from 1 species